UUGAUGCAACUUACAUUUUUGCUCUGUGGAAGAUUUUUUUUUUAAGGUUGACUUGCCAAGAAGGUUGACGAAUUUAUGACGGAAAUGUUGUUCCAGGGUCUAAAGAACUUUUUGUAUCAGCGAAAAUAGUGAAAUAAAAAGAAGUAAGGUAUUCGAAUUGAAUGAUGUUGGUAAGGUGGACUUAGACCUCGCAAACUAUGAAAGUUUCCUCUACAUCAAACUGCACAGUGAGAAUAUUACUACCGGAAAAUCUAUCAGCAAGUCAUCCAAAGGGAACGAGAUGGCAACUAUGUGGAAAAACAAACCGUUCGGGUCAUUUGUUACAUAUCACAAAUGCUAUGGAUCUCAACGUGUUUGGCCAACAAACCGCAGUGAAAGUAAACACCGCAGGUGUAUCCAUAGUUGAUUUGAGUGUAUCGAAUCGUACGAGACCUGAAAGCAUACAUGCAAUUUCGACACGUUCUGUGACCACUCAGUUGAAUGUAACCGAUCACGUGAUUGUAUGCCUGAAACCUACAUUUUUGUGACUCUGAUCGAUGGAAUUAUGAUGGC